rfam:Schistosoma rodhaini strain Burundi genome assembly, scaffold: SROB_scaffold0002167
AUCCAGCUGACGAGUCCCAAAUAGGACGAAACGAGCGCCCUCUAU